GCGGAUGUAGCCAAGUGGAUCAAGGCAGUGGAUUUGUGAAUCC
rnacentral:tRNA from 6 species